rnacentral:rRNA from 1 species
UACAGAGGUCCCAAGCGUUGUUCGGAUUUACUGGGCGUAAAGCGCAUGUAGGCGGAUCGUUAAGUCGGGGGUGAAAUCCUGGAGCUCAACUCCAGAACUGCCUUCGAUACUGGCGAUCUUGAGUCCGGAAGAGGUGAGUGGAACUCCUAGUGUAGAGGUGGAAUUCGUAGAUAUUAGGAAGAACACCAGUGGCGAAGGCGGCUCACUGGUCCGGUACUGACGCUGAGGUGCGAAAGCGUGGGGAGCAAGCAGG